rnacentral:rRNA from 1 species
AACGAACGCUGGCGGCAGGCUUAACACAUGCAAGUCGAACGCCCCGCAAGGGGAGUGGCAGACGGGUGAGUAACGCGUGGGAAUCUACCUAGUUCUGCGGAACAACAGUUGGAAACGACUGCUAAUACCGCAUACGCCCUACGGGGAAAGGAUUAUCGGAAUUAGAUGAGCCCGCGUAAGAUUAGCUAGUUGGUGGGGUA